UCAGGGCUUCCCAACCAGCCAGGGACAAACACAGGAGAGGUUCAGUGACCUUCUCAGGAUCGCACAGCUCAAAAGAAAAUGGUGGGGCUUCCUGAUGCACAUUUCUUAAUUUGUUUGUUUGUUUUUUAGUGACCUGUUGACUACCUCCUGUUAUUUGAACUGUUACAGUUUUCCAGCCUUGAUCAGACUACAGUUGCAUAAGAAAAAGCAUAAGAAUAUUCUUACAAUCUCAAGGUAGAAAAGGAUUUCUUCGCUAAGACACGGAGGAAUCAACUGCAAAAGAAAAUAUUAUUUAUGGUGGGAUCUUUUGGAUAUAAAUUUAAAAAUUUUAAUGUAGUCAAAUUUAUCAAAGAGUAAACACCAGCUACUGAUGGGGAGAAGAUAACUGACCGUCAUAAUCACCAAAGGAAAAAUAUCCAGCCCAUAAGAAGAAUUCCUACAUCAAUAGGAAGAAAAAGCUAAAAUAUCCAAUAGAAAAAUAGGUUAAGGACAUAACCCAGCAACACACAUAAGAGGAACCAGAAUAAGAAAUAAAUAUGAGCAAUGCUCCGUCUUCCUAGAAAUCAAGAAAAUUCAAUUAAACAACGUGUGAAGUAUUUCAUAGUAAUAAAAGAGAAAGAAAUAUCUCCAAUGACAAUGCAUAGAUUAUUUUGGAGGAGUAAGUCUGGGGAUAAGAAGACCAAUUAACCUGGUUAAGAAGCAGCGGCAAUAAGGUCGACGUGGAGCAAAGGUGCCUGCUCAGCAGGCAAGGAGAGAGCCCUUAGCAGGCAAGGAGCUGGCUCAGUGCCUAGAGCAGGUGCUCAGAAAACGGGCAGGGCGUGGCCUGCGCUGGAUGGAAAGUCUGAGGCUGGCUGGUGUGCUCGGGGCCAGAACACUUUGGGAGAAGCUGCCAAAAUCAUUCAGACAAGCACCUGGGGGAAUUUCCGUUGUCCCGAAAGUACCUUUUAAUUUGAAAAUAAUUAGGAGGCAGGUCAGAGAGUUUUUCAUCACUUGGCAGCGGGUGACAGUGCCUGGUCUUGGAGAGCCACUCUAUGCAGUUACAGGCUCCAAUUAGGUGUGAGAAGAAGUUACUGCUGCCUGCCAGCUGGGGAAGAGCCAGGCAGCCUGUCAUCUCUUGUCUCAUAAAUACCAGGGGCUCCAGCACCAAGCCCAGAAAGACCAAUGACACCAUUCAUCACAUAAAACUUGCCAAACACUGGAGGAAGCUCACAGGUUCUGCAGCAAAUCUUUUCACCCAAGGGCCUGAGAUGACACCACUCAGAGAUUUCUGCAAGUAGAGAUGCAGGUGAUAUAGCCAGUAUAAGAGGACAGUCCGUUUCUGAGUUCCACCAAAAAGAAAUAUGAACAGAGAAGUCUUUACUGAUGAUUUUGGAGCAGAAAUGGAGUCUCAUGACACAGCAAGGCAAGGAACUUCAUAUGAAGGGCAGCCCCCAGCACCUCUUCAACAGCCUGUGAGCCCUCACGAUUGGGCUGUUUGACCUGGUUCUCACCUCUCUGCACUUUGUGCUUUCUCCUUCCUCCUUCCAUUCCUUCCCUUGUCUUCCCCCUUCAUCUCCAAAGCAAAAGCAAAUUUCUCUCCAUGUCCAGUGCAGGCCAGUUUUACUUUAUUCUUUGAAGUUCUAUGGCCAAAAAACACCCAGGCCCUCAGGGUCCCCAAAACAUUUCCAAACAACAGCUAUCAAGAUAAUAAA